rnacentral:rRNA from 1 species
GACGAACGCUGGCGGUGUGCUUAACACAUGCAAGUCGAACGGAAAGGCCCUGCUUUUGUGGGGCGCUCGAGUGGCGAACGGGUGAGUAACACGUGAGUAACCUGCCCUUGACUUUGGGAUAACUUCAGGAAACUGGGGCGAAUAUCGGAUAGGAGCUCCUGCUGCACGGUGUGGGUUGGAAAGUUUCGGCGGUUGGGGAUGGACUCGCGGCUUAUCAGCUUGUUGGUAGGGUAGUGGCUUACCAAGGCUUUGACGGGGAGCCGGCCUGAGAGGAUGACCGGACACGUUGAGACUGAGAUACGGCCCAGACUCCAAAGGGAGGCAACAGAGGGGAAUAAUGCACAAUGAGCGGAAGCCUGAUGCAGGCACGCCGAGGGCGGGAUAACGGCCUUCGGGUUAUAAACCGAUGUCGCCUGUGAAGAGGCCAUAGUGACGGUAGUGGGUAAAGAAGCACCGGCUAACUACGUG